rnacentral:rRNA from 1 species
UACGGGGGGGGGCAAGCGUUGUUCGGAAUUCCUGGGCGUAAAGGGCUCGUAGGCGGCCAACUAAGUCGGAUGUGAAAUCCCCAGGCUCAACUUGGGAACUGCAUCCGAUACUGGAUGGCUUGAGUUCGGGAGAGGGAUGCGGAAUUCCAGGUGUAGCGGUGAAAUGCGUAGAGAUCGGGAGGAACACCUGUGGCGAAGGCGGCCGACUGGGCCGACCCUGACGCUGAGGCGCGAAGGCGUGGGGAGCGAACGGG